CAUUCUUGUCCCGCCUGCCCCUCCCUCGUUACAGACAGACAACUCUCUCCUCCCAGAAUACGAGGACAUUUCUGAAACCUCUUUGAAUGGGAUCAGUUGGUCUUUUGGUUUCUUGAGAGUUUUUGUUUUUGCUUUUCACCUCUGAAAGUAGCUAAUGACCCUUUUGUUUGGAUGCUUUAGAUACAUCCAUGCACCAUGCAAAAACUAUCCAACGCCCUCGGGUUUUGUAUUUCAGAGCUUGCUUCAUGCUCCCUUGAAAAUGCCCUGCCCUGAGACUGAGAGUACAAGUCUUAUGAAUAUUUUUGUUUUCUUAAAAAGUUUAUUUCAUUGUGCAGUAAAAUAAAUACAUAAAUUAAAUCACAGCGUAGCAUUGUUAGUUGUGAAUUUUUUUACAACAUCCCCAGAACCCUGCUUCUACUCCUGUUUCGCACUUCCUGUCUUCCAGUUCAACCAAACACGUACGGUGGCUCUCCACCAAAUCAAAUGCCACUCUUCUCCCACCGCUACAUCUCAUCCUCUCCUCCGCCAUCCCAACCACCAACAAUCCCAAAACCUCAAAACCCAACUUUAUCCCUCCCUUAACCCGUUACCCUCUACCUUUUCUAGUCUUUUCACUGAUAUCUCUUCUCACUGGCCUUUCUGGGAUCGCUAUCUCAGAUCUGCAGGCUCAAACCGGUUCCAGUUUUUCGUUGUGGCAAAUCUGAGGACACUUUUAGAGCAUUUUAUUCUGGUUCGGGUAGACGGAGCAUUGAUUGACAGCCCUAAACUUCUUGGGUUUGUUGGGACUCAAACCGGGUUUGAAUCCGGUGAUCGCCGGGCUGCACUUAGAAGUACUUGGUUUCCUUGUGACCCAGAUGGACUUUUGAGGUAAAACCAUGACUUCUGCGUAGAAAGUCGAGAGCUUUGAGAGGUAAUUUUUUUUUUAUCAAGAACAGUGAUGAUGAUCUAUAAAUAAAUAUGCUAUUCUGUUUUGUUUUGGAGUCUUGCUGUAUAAAGUAAUCCUAUAAAAAUGAGUAAUUGUAUUUUAAAUUGAGGAAAUUACUCUGUUUAAGCCAUGUAGAUUGCAUUUCAUAAUAAUCAAAAUCUGAAUUUUAUUUAAUGGAAAUCGCAUCCUCAUCUCAUUACAAUUCGUGAAGAACCAAAUGGGGGCCAUGAAUUAAUGGGAGGAGAAAUGAAUACCAUGCCUCUCUCUGUUACUGUACAUUCUAGUAAAGUUGUACUUCUAUAAUUUCAUGUCUAGAGGAACUUGGCUGGCAAUGAUGUCACUGAUAAUCCCAGCUCUAUGUGAUCUUCAAUUGGAAGGUCCAGGAGUAUAUGUUAUCAUUUUAUGUCCAAGCUUAUAACAUUGUCCGAGAAGAUAUUUCAUUUUAUGUUUAUAAUUUUGAGUCUCGAGGAACUUACUGGAAAUAAUGUCAUUGAUAAUCCCAGCUCGAUGAGAUCUUCAAAUACAAGGUCUAGGAAUUCUUUCUGAGCCUAUAACAUUGUUUGAGUACACCGUAUUUCAUUUUACUCUUAAAAUAUGGAGCGUUGAGAGGAAAUUUCUGGCAAUGAUGUCAUUGAUAAUCCCAGCUCUAUGAGAUCUUCAAUUGGAAGGUCCAGGAAUAGAUGUUAUCCAUUUCUUUCUGAGUCUAUAACAUUGUUCUAGUAAGAUGUUUCAUUUUAUUUUCAUAAUUGUAAAUCUUGAGGAUCUGGCUAUGCUGACCAUUGAUAAUCCCAGCUCUAUGAGAUCUUCAAUUUGAAGGUCUAGUAAUAGAUGUUUAUUAUUUUUUCUCUCAGCUUGUAACAUUGUUUGAGUAAAAUAUUUUGGUUUACUUUUAUAUUUUUAAGUUUUGAGUAACUUACUGGCAAUGAUGUCAUUGAUAAUCCCAGCUCUAUGAGAUCUUCAAUUGGAAGGUCUGGGAAUAGAUGUUAUCGACUUCUGUCUGAGCCUCUAAUGCUGUUUGUAUAAGAUUUUUUGUUUUGCUUUGUAGAUUUUGAGUCUCGAGGAGCCUACUGAUGAUAAUACCAUUUCUACGAGAUCUUCAAUUGGAAGGUCUAAUCAUAGAUUAUAUUUGCUCUCUGAGCCUGUAACAUUGUUCAACUAAAAUAUAUCAUUGUAGAAACUUGCUGGCAAUGAUGACCAAUGAUAAUCUCAGCUCUAUGAGAUCUUCAUAUGGAAGGUCAAGGACUACAUGUUAUCAAUUUCUAUCUGAGCCGAUAACAUCGUUUGAGUAAGAUCAUUAUUUUUCUAACUCAAAUAUAAUUUGGUUAUAUUGUUUCUUCAUCUAUUUCUCCCUUAGUUUCUUUUAUUCUGCUGUGACUCUUUGCUUUAAAAUUUGGUUUUUUACGAACUGAUCAUGCACUGAUCAUAUUGAAAAGGCCAAGUUCACUGCUGCUCCAUGGCAAGUUGGAGCAAGCUACUGGUUUAUCAUUUAGGUUCAUAAUAGGACGUUCAAAAGAUGCAAAGAAAAUGGCCCUGCUUGAGAAAGAGGUGGAUAAGUACAAGAUUUCAUGUUCAUAGAUGUUGAGGAAGAAUAUCUAAAGCUCCCAUACAAAGCAUAACAGUUCCUUUUUCCACCUUAAGUUUUCUAAUACCUUUCUUCUGUCAUUAUGUUGGCCUAUUUCAAAACAGCCUUUCAGCUUUUUGAAGCAGAAUAUUAUGUCAAAACUGAUGAUGAUAUCUAUUUGCGUCCAGGUAUAUAGUAGCAUAUGUAAUGAUUUAUUAGUGAGAUAACUGUGAUUAAUUAACAUUGAUAUUUCUGCUAUGUUAGAUUGCCUUGUAACUCUUCUUGCUAAGGAAAUAAUCCAUUCACUAACUUAUAUCUGAUGCAUGAAGAAAGGACCAGUUAUCACUGACCCUCAUAAGAAGUGGUACCCAGAUAUUGCAUAUUAUAUUUACUGUUGGAUUUGUGAUUAUUUUGUACAGUUUGUUGUUAUGAGCUCUUGCUGGUUAGUGAUUUAGGUAAUUUACAAUUUCAGGUAUGAGAAAUCUGGACAUCUGAUUGGAAAAGAGUACUUCUUGCAUGCUUAUGGACCCAUAUAUGUUCUUGCUGCAGAGGUUGUGGCUUCAUUGGCUGCUGCUAGAAAUAACAGGUGGCCGCUGAUAUAAAUAGUGGUGAAGUUGCUCGCAGGAUGGAGGGAUGGAGGGAUAUAGUGGAGAUGAUCUAACUAAUGUUUGCAGAGAUGCUUCUCUAAAUGGCCGAGCGCGAAGGAUAGUGGGCAAGAAACGAGAUGAAAUUAAGAACGUUAAGGAUGAGAUUUCAAAUGAUUCUGUUGCAAUGUGUGAUUUUGAAGAAGCCCUUUUCAGUUAAAUUUUAUUUUUCUCCAGAAAUUAUAUUUGAUUGCUUUCGGAAAGGCUACUUCUGAACAUGCUUUGUCAGUAUAUUCAUUUGGUGUUUAUAUGGAGAACAAACAAAGUAUCAUUUUCAGGCUAUUAUUA